GACCAUUCUUAUCUCUUCUUCUCCUUACCGUCCACCACUAUUACGUUCACUUUGCCUUAUCAUGAAGUGGGUAUGCAUUUUUCUUUUAUUCCUGUUCUUAAAACAACUGGAGAUAAUUGAAUUUUCAGCAGGGGGCGUAGAAAUCUGCCAGGAUCGAAAUAAUCUCACUUGUCAUUUUCUCAGCAAAGCUAAGUGUUGCUUCUCCUGGGUGGAGAUGUUGACAACUUCUACACUCCGUGUUAUGAAGGAGGUUGGGGUUUUUCUCUCUGUCUCUCCCUUUCCACAGCAGAAGCCUAAUUUCCUGCAAUUCUUGGAGAGCCCAGGCAGGAAGAGAGGUCAGGAAACUCACUACCCACACAGCUCAGGCAGUGAUUAAGAGUGGACACAUUUCCUUCCUUUUCCUCCACUACCAUUGGAAAGAUUUUUGUGUUCCCAUGUUUGGGAAUUUCUGCAUUCCUCCCUCACACAUAACACACAAUUAAUUAUGUGAAAGAUUUUUUUGUUUUGUUUUUCAGCACCUCCCACACACAAUGAAUGUUGCACAUCAAAUCCUCUUCCCAUGCAGUUUUUGUUCCUUUUGCUGCUGUUUGGUCUCUCAAAACAGGAUAUGGCUGAGUAAAGAGGAUCUGACAGUUUCAUGGCACUUGUUUCACUUCACAGGCCGAGGUCUCUGCUUCCACCCCGGCCAUUCCUAAACACCUCUGCUUAGCGGGCGUGAGUGGCACAGAGGACGGGCCUGCCUCAAAUAAGCUGCGCCUUGGCAUGUUGACAUGUUCAGCUUCCAGAAGUCCUCUCCCGCCCUGCUUUCCUGCACACUCAGUGUCAGUGGCCUGCCCCCUAGCUUGAGGGCAAGUCUUCUCCAAUUCAGAACGUGGUGGUGUGGCGACACCAAAGUGGAAAUCACUGUUCACGACGGGCUCCCACAGCCUCCAGAUGCGAGAUUGCAGCAUCUUUUCUGUUUCUCAUUACAGUACAGUGAGCUUGGACACUUUCCCCUAACCAAUUGGAAAUCCCCAAAGGGCUGGAGAGCACUUUAACAGCUGAAGCAAAGCUCCACAGGAAAUGGACUCCAUGUGUUAGGUCAGUCCUUUCACAGAGUAUGGAAAGAGGGCAAGUUUCUCUUCCCAUGUUCUCCUUCAGUGACCUCAAUCUGCGUCCUCCAUUCUUUGUGGUCUCCCUCAGCUGCACAGCUUUCUCUCUUUUGCUGAGUCCCCAUUUCCUUUUUCUCAGAAGACUGGUUACUAAACAGUUAUUGAGAGCGUCCGCUCUCCAGUUAUUUUCAACUGCAACAGCUAUUAACCCCUGGUGUGCCACCCUCUCACACAACCUAACACCCUGGCACACCCUUAGGCUGCUUCCGACCUCUGAAGGAGUCAUUACUCAGAGACGACCCAUUAAAAUGAAUGGCUAUGUGAAAUAA